GAGUUUGAUCAUGGCUCAGAUUGAACGCUGGCGGCAGGCCUAACACAUGCAAGUCGAACGGUAACAGGAAACAGCUUGCUGUAUCGCUGACGAGUGGCGGACGGGUGAGUAAUGUCUGGGAAACUGCCUGAUGGAGGGGGAUAACUACUGGAAACGGUAGCUAAUACCGCAUAACGUCGCAAGACCAAAGAGGGGGACCUUCGGGCCUCUUGCCAUCAGAUGUGCCCAGAUGGGAUUAGCUAGUAGGUGGGGUAACGGCUCACCUAGGCGACGAUCCCUAGCUGGUCUGAGAGGAUGACCAGCCACACUGGAACUGAGACACGGUCCAGACUCCUACGGGAGGCAGCAGUGGGGAAUAUUGCACAAUGGGCGCAAGCCUGAUGCAGCCAUGCCGCGUGUAUGAAGAAGGCCUUCGGGUUGUAAAGUACUUUCAGCGGGGAGGAAGGGAGUAAAGUUAAUACCUUUGCUCAUUGACGUUACCCGCAGAAGAAGCACCGGCUAACUCCGUGCCAGCAGCCGCGGUAAUACGGAGGGUGCAAGCGUUAAUCGGAAUUACUGGGCGUAAAGCGCACGCAGGCGGUUUGUUAAGUCAGAUGUGAAAUCCCCGGGCUCAACCUGGAACUGCAUCUGAUACUGGCAAGCUUGAGUCUCGUAGAGGGGGGUAGAAUUCCAGGUGUAGCGGUGAAAUGCGUAGAGAUCUGGAGGAAUACCGGUGGCGAAGGCGGCCCCCUGGACGAAGACUGACGCUCAGGUGCGAAAGCGUGGGGAGCAAACAGGAUUAGAUACCCUGGUAGUCCACGCCGUAAACGAUGUCGACUUGGAGGUUGUGCCCUUGAGGCGUGGCUUCCGGAGCUAACGCGUUAAGUCGACCGCCUGGGGAGUACGGCCGCAGGGUUAAAACUCAAAUGAAUUGACGGGGGCCCGCACAAGCGGUGGAGCAUGUGGUUUAAUUCGAUGCAACGCGAAGAACCUUACCUGGUCUUGACAUCCACGGAAGUUUUCAGAGAUGAGAAUGUGCCUUCGGGAACCGUGAGACAGGUGCUGCAUGGCUGUCGUCAGCUCGUGUUGUGAAAUGUUGGGUUAAGUCCCGCAACGAGCGCAACCCUUAUCCUUUGUUGCCAGCGGUCCGGCCGGGAACUCAAAGGAGACUGCCAGUGAUAAACUGGAGGAAGGUGGGGAUGACGUCAAGUCAUCAUGGCCCUUACGACCAGGGCUACACACGUGCUACAAUGGCGCACACAAAGAGAAGCGACCUCGCGAGAGCAAGCGGACCUCAUAAAGUGCGUCGUAGUCCGGAUUGGAGUCUGCAACUCGACUCCAUGAAGUCGGAAUCGCUAGUAAUCGUGGAUCAGAAUGCCACGGUGAAUACGUUCCCGGGCCUUGUACACACCGCCCGUCACACCAUGGGAGUGGGUUGCAAAAGAAGUAGGUAGCUUAACCUUCGGGAGGGCGCUUACCACUUUGUGAUUCAUGACUGGGGUGAAGUCGUAACAAGGUAACCGUAGGGGAACCUGCGGUUG
rnacentral:rRNA from 1 species